CACAGUGCUUGUAUUCAAGACACCGUUAUUUUACUUAAUAAUGGUCCCAAAGUGCAAGAGUAGUUAUGCUAGCAAUUCAGAUAUGCCAAAGAGAAGCUGUGGAGUGCUUCCUCUAAGUGAAAAGGUGAACGUGCUCAACUUAAUAAGGAAAAAAAAAAUCCUAUGUGGAGAUUGCUAAGAUCUACGUUAGAACUUCCUGAAAGCGGCAGCCAUAUCAUUCAUCUCUGUGAUUCUCACACCAGCACAGCUCCAGGGCCGGAACAUCACAAUGGCCAGGGGAUGUAUUCAGUGAAUGCUUCAGGAGAAGAAGAAUAACUCAAGCUAUGGUAGACAGUGGAUGUGUUAGAGAAGACACAGAUAUCUGGAGGGCAGAGAGGAAGCUUCGGCAGAAUCCUGGAGGGAACAGAGCAGAACUUCAGAGGCAGCAAAGGGGAGUACCAGGAAACAGUAUCUUACUCUUCCAGUGUUCAGUCACAUUUAAUAAAGAUGAAUCUUUCCAACAAUUCAACACCCUCAGCUCUUUUAAAAACAAGGAGGCCGGGGCUUCCCUGGUGGCGCAGUGGUUGAGAGUCCGCCUGCCGAUGCAAGGGACACGGGUUCCUGCCUCGGUCCGGGAAGAUCCCGCAUGACGCGGAGCGGCUGGGCCCGUGAGCCAUGGCCGCUGAGCCUGCGCGCCCGGAGCCUGUGCUCCGCAACAGAAGAGGCCACAACAGUGAGAGGCCCGCGUACCGCAAAAAAAAACCCAAAAAAACCCAAAAAACAAGGAGGCCGACUUUUCGGAGAUAUUUUUUAAGUUUACAAACCGUGGUGUUCUUUCCAUUAGUGAUAGAAAAGAGUAUUGCUUGCCAAUCAGACAUCAAAGGCUCCCCUCCUAGGUUGAGGCUUCAGGAAUGGGGGUGCAAUUAUUGUUGAAAGGGAAACGGAUUAUUUAAGAUCAGCUGCUUCAGUGCCCUGAUACUGUGACAGGGUCUGCAGGUGUACAGAGUUUGCCUAUUGAUACAAAUUGAAUCUGAAAAUAGCAAUUUAUUCACCAAAUCAAGCCAAUCACUGCAAUGCAGUUUUCUCUUUCGGCUCUUACUUCCAACCAACCACUCUUAACGAAUUUGCAACUUCUGUUUUACAGUGAACAUUUCUGUUUUAGGAAGGGGAUUGGGCGAGCUCUCAUGGAAAGCCUUUCUUUUAGCCUUUUUAACUUUGAGGCUUUAUUUUAGAAGACAGUUUGUUUAUAGUUGUACUACUUAAUCUAGGCAAAAAUGAUCAACACCUGUUCCAAAUUGGUACUCCCCUCCCACACUCCUUUUUCUCUUCUCCACCAACUGCCAUUUGCCUUCCAUUACCCAUAAAAAAGCAAUCACAUUAGCAUCCUUUGUAACACAAUUUCAAAACUUCAAAGGCACGCCAGAAAUUCUAGAGUAAACUGCAUCUUCUAUAUGCCAACAUAAUCAACUUCCAGGAAAUGAGAAAGAACAUAAAAUAAAGACAUAUUUGAAGUGAAUCUUUUGAUUCUAACAGUUACUUCAAGUGACAGCUAACAGCCAAGUCAAGAAUUUGAAACAAGUAAAUGAAAGAUAGUUUACCUGAAGUGAAGCAAACAGACCAAAGAACUCUCAAUUUGGAUCAAAAACUGGACAACUAAAUGGACCCUCUCAAAGAUCUGAAUCAACACACAUCCCUGGCAUUUUGCCAGGCUUUCCAAAGCUCCUGGAUGGAGAAAGAUCCACAAUGGCUAAGCACAGGUUGUUGUCAUGGCUACAAGCAACCAACAGAAAAAGAAAGUAGCUUAAGAAAAAGGCAGUUGGGAAACACUUAAAAGAAAAACAGCCUGGACUGGAACAAAUGCAUACUUAAGUGAAAUUUUUAGGCAAAGACUAUAUUCUUUAUACAGACUCAAAGAAUAUAAACAAAGAAAAUAAAUUAUAUCAAUAACAGACCAGACUAUAUUUUAAGGAUAUUCCAUUUUAUGAGGGUUUCUA